GGUUCGAUUAUGGCUCAGAUUGAACGCUGGCGGGAUGCUUUACACAUGCAAGUCGAACGGCAGCACGGACUUCGGUCUGGUGGCGAGUAGCGAACGGGUGAGUAAUGUAUCGGAACGUACCUAGUAGCAGGGGAUAACUACGCGAAAGCGUAGCUAAUACCGCAUACGCCCCUUCGGGGAAAGCGGGGACCUUCGGGCCUCGCACUAUUGGAAGCGGCCGAUAUCGGAUUGGCUAGUUGGUGGGGUAACGGCUCACCAAGGCGACGAUCCGUAGCUGGUUUGAGAGGACGACCAGCCACACCAGGACUGAGACACGGCCCAGACUCCUACGGGAGGCAGCAGUGAAAUUUUGGACAAUGGGGAAAC
rnacentral:misc_RNA from 1 species